rnacentral:rRNA from 1 species
CCUACGGGAGGCAGCAGUAGGGAAUUUUCGUCAAUGGGCGCAAGCCUGAACGAGCAAUGCCGCGUGAACGAGGAAGGUCUUCGGAUCUUAAAGUUCUGUUGAACGGGAAAAAGAGCGGAGAGAGGAAAUGGUCUCCGAUUGAUAUUACCCUUCGAGGAAGUCACGGCUAACUACGUGCCAGCAGCCGCGGUAAUACGUAGGUGGCGAGCGUUAUCCGGAAUGAUUGGGCGUAAAGGGUGCGUAGGCGGCCUGCUAAGUCUGGAGUGAAAGGUACCGGCUCAACCGGUACAGGCUCUGGAAACUGGCGGGCUAGAGAGCAGGAGAGGGAGGUGGAAGUAGAUGUGUAGCGGUAAAAUGCGUAGAUAUAAGGAAGAACACCGGUGGCGAAGGCGGCCGCCUGGCCUGUUACUGACGCUGAGGCACGAAAGCGUGGGGAGCAAAUAGGAUUAGAUACCCUAGUAGUC